ACGAACGCUGGCGGCGUGCUUAACACAUGCAAGUCGAACGAGAAGAGAUGAGAAGCUUGCUUCUUAUCAAUUCGAGUGGCAAACGGGUGAGUAACGCGUAAGCAACCUGCCCUUCAGAUGGGGACAACAGCUGGAAACGGCUGCUAAUACCGAAUACGUUCUUUUUGUCGCAUGGCAGAGGGAAGAAAGGGAGGCUCUUCGGAGCUUUCGCUGAAGGAGGGGCUUGCGUCUGAUUAGCUAGUUGGAGGGGUAACAGCCCACCAAGGCGACGAUCAGUAGCCGGUCUGAGAGGAUGAACGGCCACAUUGGGACUGAGACACGGCCCAGACUCCUACGGGAGGCAGCAGUGGGGAAUCUUCCGCAAUGGACGAAAGUCUGACGGAGCAACGCCGCGUGAACGAUGACGGCCUUCGGGUUGUAAAGUUCUGUUAUACGGGACGAAUGGCGUAGCGGUCAAUACCCGUUACGAGUGACGGUACCGUAAGAGAAAGCCACGGCUAACUACGUG
rnacentral:rRNA from 1 species